AGGAUUCCCCUAGUAACUGCGAGUGAAGCGGGAAAAGCUCAAAUUUAAAAUCUGGCGGUCUUUGGCUGUCCGAGUUGUAAUCUAGAGAAGUGUUAUCCGCGCUGGACCGUGUACAAGUCUCCUGGAAUGGAGCGUCRUAGAGGGUGAGAAUCCCGUCUUUGACACGGACUGCCAGGGCUUUGUGAUGCGCUCUCAAAGAGUCGAGUUGUUUGGGAAUGCAGCUCAAAAUGGGUGGUAAAUUCCAUCUAAAGCUAAAUAUUGGCGAGAGACCGAUAGCGAACAAGUACCGUGAGGGAAAGAUGAAAAGAACUUUGGAAAGAGAGUUAAACAGUACGUGAAAUUGCUGAAAGGGAAACGCUUGAAGUCAGUCGCGUUGUCCAGGGAUCAACCUUGCUUUUGCUUGGUGCACUUUCUGGUUGACGGGUCAGCAUCAAUUUUGACCAUUGGAAAAAGAUUAGGGGAAUGUGGCAUCUUCGGAUGUGUUAUAGCCCUUGGUUGUAUACAAUGAUUGGGAUUGAGGAACUCAGCACGCCGCAAGGCCGGGUUUUUAACCACGUACGUGCUUAGGAUGCUGGCAUAAUGGCUUUAAUCGACCCGUCUUGAAACACGGACCAAGGAGUCUAACAUGCCUGC
rnacentral:rRNA from 2 species